AGUGAACGCUGGCGGCAGGCCUAAUACAUGCAAGUCGAACGGCAGCACAGCAGAGCUUGCUCUGUGGGUGGCGAGUGGCGGACGGGUGAGGAAUACAUGGGAAUCUGCCCAGUCGUGGGGGAUAACGUAUGGAAACGUACGCUAAUACCGCAUGCGCCCUACGGGGGAAAGUCGGGGACCGCAAGGCCUGACGCGAUUGAAUGAGCCCAUGUUCGAUUAGCUAGUUGGCGGGGUAAAGGCCCACCAAGGCGACGAUCGAUAGCUGGUCUGAGAGGAUGAUCAGCCACACUGGAACUGAGACACGGUCCAGACUCCUACGGGAGGCAGCAGUAGGGAAUAUUGGACAAUGGGGGCAACCCUGAUCCAGCCAUGCCGCGUGAGUGAAGAAGGCCUCGGGUUGUAAAGCUCUUUUGUCCGGAAAGAAAAGCAAUCGGUUAAUACCCGGUUGUUCUGACGGUACCGGAAGAAUAAGCACCGGCUAACUUCGUGCC
rnacentral:rRNA from 1 species